rnacentral:rRNA from 1 species
UACGUAGGGGGCGAGCGUUGUCCGGAUUUAUUGGGCGUAAAGAGCGUGUAGGCGGCCAGGUAGGUCUGCUGUGAAAACUCGAGGCUCAACCUCGAGACGUCGGCGGAAACCAUCUGGCUAGAGUCCGGAAUAGGAGAGUGGAAUUCCUGGUGUAGCGGUGAAAUGCGCAGAUAUCAGGAAGAACACCCGUGGCGAAGGCGGCUCUCUGGGACGGUACUGACGCUGAGACGCGAAAGCGUGGGGAGCGAACAGG